AGGACGAACGCUGGCGGCGUGCCUAAUACAUGCAAGUCGAACGCGCUCCAUUCGGUAGCAAUACUGAUGAAGAGCGAGUGGCGAACGGGUGAGUAGCACGUGAGCAACCUGCCCCGAAGACUGGGACAACACCGGGAAACCGGUGCUAAUACCGGAUAUCCCUAUCGGACCGCAUGAUCCGAUAAGGAAAUGUUUUUCGCUUCGGGAGGGGCUCGCGGCCUAUCAGCUAGUUGGUGAGGUAACGGCUCACCAAGGCGUCGACGGGUAGCUGGUCUGAGAGGACGAUCAGCCACACUGGGACUGAGACACGGCCCAGACUCCUACGGGAGGCAGCAGUAGGGAAUCUUGCGCAAUGGGCGAAAGCCUGACGCAGCAACGCCGCGUGGAGGACGAAGGCUUUCUGAGUUGUAAACUCCUUUCAGCAGGGACGAUAGUGACGGUACCUGCAGAAGAGCACCGGCCAACUACGCGCCAGCAGCCG
rnacentral:rRNA from 1 species